CAUCUUGUAGGGCCUUGCUAGCGUAGUAGACGGGCCGUUCGACACCACUGUCCAUUCGAAUAAGAACAGAACUAACUGCUGAAGCUGAAACCGAUAGAUAGAUGAUGAGAGUGUCACCAACUUCUGGUUUGGAGAGCAGAGGGGCUUUACUCAUGUACUCUUUGAGAUUCCUGAAUGCCUUGGCACAUUCCUCCGUCCAUGUAAUGUACUUCUUAUUUCCCUUGAGUGCUUUGAAGAAAGGA
rnacentral:lncRNA from 1 species